GAUGAACGCUGGCGGCGUGCCUAAUACAUGCAAGUCGAGCGAACGGACGAGAAGCUUGCUUCUCUGAUGUUAGCGGCGGACGGGUGAGUAACACGUGGAUAACCUACCUAUAAGACUGGGAUAACUUCGGGAAACCGGAGCUAAUACCGGAUAAUAUUUUGAACCGCAUGGUUCAAAAGUGAAAGACGGUCUUGCUGUCACUUAUAGAUGGAUCCGCGCUGCAUUAGCUAGUUGGUAAGGUAACGGCUUACCAAGGCAACGAUGCAUAGCCGACCUGAGAGGGUGAUCGGCCACACUGGAACUGAGACACGGUCCAGACUCCUACGGGAGGCAGCAGUAGGGAAUCUUCCGCAAUGGGCGAAAGCCUGACGGAGCAACGCCGCGUGAGUGAUGAAGGUCUUCGGAUCGUAAAACUCUGUUACUAGGGAAGAACAUAUGUGUAAGUAACUGUGCACAUCUUGACGGUACCUAAGCAGAAAGCCACGGCUAACUACGU
rnacentral:rRNA from 1 species